CCCCCCACUCGCCUCUCCGUACGGGUUCAGCAUGGCUGCCGCAGCCCGGGAACCCACACAGCGCAGGCGCAAGGGUGUAAGGUGCAGCUUGGGACGCCCUGGCCGGAGUCCAGCGGAAACGCGCGCUGCCCAGCUGUUGUCAGUGGAGGAGAAUGGCGCCUGGACCUGGAGUUUUAAGGGUUUGCAGGAUGGGGUGUAGUGUGGUUCCACGUCGGGAGACGGAGUUUUAUCAACCACCCUCGUCAUGCCUGCGGCGGGGAGAUGAGGCGCGGGAGGUUGAUGUGGGCAUUUUGUUUGACCUGUUUGUCUUAGGCUGCUUUAUAACUUCUCAUUUCACCCGAAUCUACGAAGACUUCGUUGAGACCUGCCAGUGCUUGGGCUCCUCUGCCUUCUGCAAAACCUAACACUUUUACUUUUUUUCUGGACUUGCCUCCACCGUUUAAAACUUCUGCUUUUUCUAAGGCUUUACCCUUUGCUCAGUCUUGAAACCCAUAAAAAUCUGAUCCAGUGAUGGUUGCCAGCUAAAGCAGAUCUUUUAUUGUUCAUAGGCAAUACUCCCUCCCUUGAUCCUCAGAAUGUGGUUCAGAUUUUUUACUUUUAAUUCAUAACGCCCACUCUCCACAAGCGGAACAUUACAGAAAGGCCAACUUGCAGAACUCUUGGCUUUCCGACUGGGACAUGUCUGUGUUCCUUUACCAUUGUACCAGAAGUCCCCUCCAGCUUAAGGAAAUUUUUCUUUUUUGUCCUGGUCACAUUUAGCUAUUAGUCUGAAGCUAUCCUCCAUUUUUCUCCCAAUUGGCAUUUUUAACUUCUUCCUUUUAUGGGUUUCCCAGCCUAAAAACAAGGAAAGAAAGGAAAUAACCUUAUCAAUAUUGCAUCCCCUUGUACACUCUUAUUUACCUCUCAGCUCUCCUGCACAGUCAAGACCUGAAACCAUCCCCUUUGUACUCUUUUUUACCUCUCAGCUCUCCUGCACAGUUAAGACCUGAAACGGUCUUAAUUUUCCUCUCUCAACCUCGUCCCCAUUCUUCAGCUCAUUUCUUCUACUACUGAAGCUGUCCUAGCAAAGGUCACCAAAGACCUCCUAAUUGGCAAAUCAGGAAGCACUUACCAGUUCUCAUCUUAUUUGACCUCUCUGAAGUAUUUGACAUUUGAUCAUGCUUCCUGAAAUUCUCUACAGCCUUGAUUUUUGUGACCAGUUUGUACUUAUUUCUUUUCUUGCUUGUCCAACUUUUCCUCUGGUCUCUUUUCGUGGACUCUUCUUUAGCCCCUGUGGAUUUUUGCCAGAAUUUUGCCUCACUUCUAGUUCUUUUCAUCUUCCCUGUAUAAUCUCACUCAAUGGGUCAAAGCUUCGCAAAUCUUUUUCUUUAGACAACUCUCCAGAGCUGAACUCACCACUAAAUUUUACUGCUUGGAUAACCCUCAGGAGUUCAAAAUUGAUACAAUAUGUAUACACUCUAGACCUGUUCCUUCUAUAUUAUCCUAGUUGAUGGCAGCUAUUCAGUUAUAAAGCCUAGAAUCUGGGAGCCAUUCCUGAUUUCUUUUUCUCACAACUUUACAUUCCCUAGACUUCACAUUUUGCCUGUAAUAUUGCCAUGGCUCACACUCUGUCCUAGUCUUACCACCAGAGCUCUAUCAAUAGCUUCCUGAUUCCACUAUCUCUAAAGUUGCACUGUCCAAUAUGGUAGCCACUAGCCACUUGUGGCUGUUUAAAUUAACAUUAAAUAUGGCUCUAAAUUUAGUUCCUUGGAUGCAUUGGCCACAUUUUAAGUUCUCAGUAGCUGCCUGUGGCUCAAGGCUGUCACACUGGACAGCACAAAUUAUAGAACAUUUCCAUCAUUGAAGAAAGUUCUGUUGGACAGUGUUGCUGUAGAUUUUCCUCUCUACCUCACCACAGUACCGCCAGGAACCAACUUUCCAAAAUACAACUCUGGCCAUAUGCUACUGUUUAAGCGCUGUAUUAAUUCCUCAUUGCCUGUUGUGAUCAAGUCCAAAUUCCUGUGCUUGGCAGAAAGGUCUGCCUACCUGUCCAGCCUCAUGUCUAGCCACUUCCUCUUGAGCCCUGUACUCCAGCUGUAUUAAAAUGUUCCCCAGAUGUAC